GGAAAUCUCGUUGAGUUUGGGAGGCCUUACUUCUGCAUAUUUGAAUCUGGUGACCAAAUUAAACAUUGUUCUAACUGUAGUGGUCUGAUCAUUCUACCAAGGCCAUGACUGUGAAGAGCACUGUGGGUGAUGGCUGGUGGCUCACCGGAGCCGGCUUGUGCACGGCGCCCGAAGCCAAAGAAAUCUGAAGACCCGACCUUACUAUUGGCAAAGACAGACAAACACUCUACAAAUAGUGCUUGAAAAAUGCCACUGUUUGGUUCAGAUGGUGAAGAGGAACUCAGGAAGGCCUGGCAGUCUCUAGGAGGCUAGGGCAGUGGUUCUCAAAUGAUAGGGUGUACAGAAAUUCCCUGGAGGACUUGUGACAACAAAGAUUGCUAGGCCUACUCCCAGGGUUUCUAAUUCAGCAGGUCUGGGGAUGGAGCUCAAGUAUCUGCAUUUCUAACAAGUCCCCGGUGGUGCUGAUGCUGCUUGCAUGGACCAGUUUUGAGAACCAUACUUGGAGAAACACUUGGUUAGGAAAACUAUGUCUGUUACAGAUUGAUCAAAGGGCUCUUAAGUUCCUUUUGUACAAUAAAUCACUGCGAUAUCAAAUGAGGUAAAUGAACAUGCUCUUUGAACUCUUAACUUCUAGACCAAUAUAAAACAUUCUAAAUAUGAAAUGGAAACAUUUACAAUUGUUAUUGAUUCUCAUCAAUGCAAUGUUCAAUAAAGAUAAGAAUCAC
ensembl:lncRNA LINC01812 long intergenic non-protein coding RNA 1812